rnacentral:rRNA from 1 species
AUUGAACGCUGGCGGCAUGCCUUACACAUGCAAGUCGAACGGUAACAGGUCUUCGGAUGCUGACGAGUGGCGAACGGGUGAGUAAUACAUCGGAACGUGCCUAGUAGUGGGGGAUAACUAAUCGAAAGAGUGGCCAAUACCGCAUGAGAUCUACGGAUGAAAGCAGGGGAUCGCAAGACCUUGUGCUACUAGAGCGGCCGAGGGCAGAUUAAGUAGUUGGUGGGAUAAAAGCGUACCAAGCCGACGAUCUGUAGCUGGUCUGAGAGGACGAUCAGCCACACUGGGACUGAGACACGGCCCAGACUCCUACGGGAGGCAGCAGUGGGGAAUUUUGGACAAUGGGCGCAAGCCUGAUCCAGCAAUGCCGCGUGCAGGAUGAAGGCCUUCGGGUUGUAAACUGCUUUUGUACGGAACGAAAAGCCCUGGGUUAAUACCCUGGGGUCAUGACGGUACCGUAAGAAUAAGCACCGGCUAACUACGUGCCAGCAGCCGCCGUAACAC